CAAUAGCGUAUAUUAAAGUUGUUGCGGUUAAAAGCUCGUAAGUUGGAUUUCUGGGAGGGUGCCAAUGUCCGUCGUCGUACGUGUUGCAGCGGCGCCCUUCCAUCCUUCUGUUAACGACUUUGGGCAUUCAUUUGCCGGAGUCGGGCUCAGAUAUUUACCUUGAGAAAAUUAGAGUGUUUCAGGCAGGCUAGGCCGGAAUACAUUAGCAUGGAAUAAUGGAAUAGGACUACGGUCUCUUUGUUGGUUUGAGGGACUGCAGUAAUGAUUAAUAGGGAUAGUUGGGGCAGUUAGUAGUUUAAUUGUCAGAGGUGGAAUUCUCGGAUUUGUUAAAGACUAACUUAUGCGAAAGCAUUUGCCAAGGAUGUUUUCAUUAAUCAAGAACGAAAGAUUAGGGGAUCAAAGAUGAUUAGAUACCA
rnacentral:rRNA from 1 species